AGAGUUUGAUCCUGGCUCAGGAUGAACGCUAGCGGCAGGCCUAACACAUGCAAGCCGAGGGGUAAGGUCAAGCUUGCUUGACACACGACCGGCGCACGGGUGAGUAACGCGUAUGCAACCUACCUCUAACAGGAGGAUAGCUCCCGGAAACGGGAAUUAAUACUCCGUACGAUUAUAAUAAGGCAUCUUAUUGUAAUGAAAGCUCCGGCGGUUAGAGAUGGGCAUGCGUGCCAUUAGCUAGUUGGUGAGGUAUCGGCUCACCAAGGCAAUGAUGGCUAGGGGGUCUAAAAGGAUGAUCCCCCACACUGGUACUGAGACACGGACCAGACUCCUACGGGAGGCAGCAGUGAGGAAUAUUGGUCAAUGGGUGCAAGCCUGAACCAGCCAUGCCGCGUGCAGGAAGACGGCCCUAUGGGUUGUAAACUGCUUUUAUACGGGAAGAAACACCCCCCACGUGUGGGGGCUUGACUGUACCGUAUGAAUAAGCAUCAGCUAACUCCGUGCCAGCAGCCGCGGUAAUACGGAGGAUGCAAGCGUUAUCCGGAUUUAUUAGGUUUAAAGGGUGCGUAGGCGGAGCGGUAAGUCAGUGGUGAAAUCCUGUGGCUCAACCAUAGAACUGCCAUUGAUACUGUCGUUCUUGAGUGCAGACGAGGUAAGCGGAAUGUGUAAUGUAGCGGUGAAAUGCUUAGAUAUUACACAGAACACCGAUUGCGUAGGCAGCUUACUAGACUGUAACUGACGCUGAUGCACGAAAGCGUGGGUAGCGAACAGGAUUAGAUACCCUGGUAGUCCACGCUGUAAACGAUGAUCACUCGCUGUGUGCAAUACAUCGCACGUGGCUGAGCGAAAGCAUUAAGUGAUCCACCUGGGGAGUACGUUCGCAAGAAUGAAACUCAAAGGAAUUGACGGGGGCCCGCACAAGCGGUGGAACAUGUGGUUUAAUUCGAUAAUACGCGAGGAACCUUACCUGGACUUAAAUGCAGGGCGAUUGUUUGUGAAAGCAGACUUCCCUUCGGGGCGACCUGCAAGGUGCUGCAUGGCUGUCGUCAGCUCGUGCCGUGAGGUGUCGGGUUAAGUCCCAUAACGAGCGCAACCCCUAUUCUUAGUUGCCAGCGGAUAAUGCCGGGGACUCUAAGGAGACUGCCACCGUAAGGUGAGAGGAAGGUGGGGAUGACGUCAAGUCAGCACGGCCCUUACGUCCAGGGCUACACACGUGUUACGAUGGCCGGUACAGAGGGCAGCUACAUAGUGAUAUGAUGCAAAUCUCGAAAGCCGGUCUCAGUUCGGAUUGAAGUCUGCAACUCGACUUCAUGAAGUUGGAAUCGCUAGUAAUCGCGCAUCAGCAACGGCGCGGUGAAUACGUUCCCGGGCCUUGUACACACCGCCCGUCAAGCCAUGGGAGCCGGGGGUACCUGAAGUCCGUAACCGCAAGGAUCGGCCUAAGGUAAAACUGGUGACUGGGGCUAAGUCGGAACAAGGUA
rnacentral:rRNA from 1 species